rnacentral:rRNA from 1 species
UACGUAGGGGGCAAGCGUUGUCCGGAUUUAUUGGGCGUAAAGAGCGUGUAGGCGGUUCGGUAGGUCCGUUGUGAAAACUCGAGGCUCAACCUCGAGACGCCGAUGGAAACCCUCGAACUAGAGUCCGGAAGAGGAGAAUGGAAUUCCUGGUGUAGCGGUGAAAUGCGCAGAUAUCGGGAAGAACACCCGUGGCUAAGGCGGUUCUCUAGUACGGUACUGACGCUGAGACGCGAAAGCGUGGGGAGCGAACAGG